GAACUGUGGUUCCAAAUCUUCUCAAACUGCCAGAAUUUUGCUGAGCUCAGCACAAGAGUGGGUGAUCAAGCAGGACAGGACACCCUGCCCCUGCCAAAGCCUCCACUAAUUUCUCUCAACCUCCUUACAGUGUUGACUCCAGAAUUUGCUCUUAAAGGGCUGCUUCAUCCAGAGGAUAAAUGUUCCAAUGACCAGACAGUGAGGCUGACCUCGUUAGGAGUUUGCCAGGGAAGAAGGAGGGAAGAUAGCAGAGCUCCUGCAGGCUCAGACUGAAGAGCUGAAGUCUCUAAACUGCCACAACCUUCUCCCCAUCCCCGAUGCUGAGCCCACACGAGGCUGCGAGAUCCACACACAAACCCAACCUGCAUUCUCUGCCCCGUGACUACCAAGGGCUGUGUCUGUCUGGCUGCAAUCUCAGUUCAGUCUCUCGCUACGUAAUGAAUUAAGAGAGCCUUUAAUUAUAUGCUCACGUGGUAUUUUUUCCAUGGAGCUAUCUCAGCCAGCCCACAGGACAGACCUGCUCCGGCGAUGAAUCACGGCGGGGCAGCACCAGGAGGUUGUUGUCUGCCCUGCUGCUGAGGGAGGAAAACGUGGAAUGCAAAGGCUGGCUGUCAGGCAGGGAGAAGGGGGUGUUGGUUAGGUUGGAUGUUGCCCCAAAGACUCGCUGUUUGAUACCAGGCACGUUGCUUAAACACAGUAUUUAAAGGACUGGACGGUGGCUCUGGUUUCGCACCUGCUGCAAAGAGCUACAGGCAGGGCUGCACAAGGACCAGCACGCUGACAGCACUGGGAGCUUUGGAGUGUGGAGAGGGGCCAAGCAGGAAGCAGAUGGAUCUGGAUUUUGGCCAGUCCAUCCCAUGUAACAUAGCCAUAAAACCUCAAAGCCCCCCUACCUGGCUGUGCCCAGGCUGGCAGCUGACCCAGGACAGUCCUGAAACACAGAGUGAAAGAUGUUCUGGGGACUCAUCUACCCCCAAGGCCCGACAAGAGACCUGCACAGAACAUCACAGCUGACAGAGCCCUGCCUCUGACUGAACCAGCAGCAAACUGCAGUUUAAGGACGUGAAGGCACAAGCUUGUGGAGAAAUCCUACGGAGCAAAUGAAUUACCAGCUCUGAAGGAGUAUAAAAAUUCUGUAAACUCAUAACGCUGCAUGUCAGAAAAGAAAGAUCACCCAAGAAAGCCCAGCCUCAAGGCUAAGAUUGUGCAAUACUGAGAUAAACCCCACGGUGAAAAAGCCAGAAGCAAUUCAUUGUCAUUUAUUCCCUGC